rnacentral:rRNA from 1 species
GAGGAACGCUGGCGGCUUUCUUAACACAUGCAAGUCGAACGGAAAGGCCCAAGCUUGCUUGGGUACUCGAGUGGCGAACGGGUGAGUAACACGUGGGUGAUCUGCCCUGCACUUCGGGAUAAGCCUGGGAAACUGGGUCUAAUACCGGAUAGGACCACUUCUUGGAUGUUGUGGUGGAAAGUUUUUUCGGUGUGGGAUGAGCUCGCGGCCUAUCAGCUUGUUGGUGGGGUAAUGGCCUACCAAGGCGUCGACGGGUAGCCGGCCUGAGAGGGUGUACGGCCACAUUGGGACUGAGAUACGGCCCAGACUCCUACGGGAGGCAGCAGUGGGGAAUAUUGCACAAUGGGCGCAAGCCUGAUGCAGCGACGCCGCGUGGGGGAUGACGGCCUUCGGGUUGUAAACUCCUUUCGCUAGGGACGAAGCGUUUUGUGACGGUACCUGGAGAAGAAGCACAGGCUAACUACGUG